rnacentral:lncRNA from 1 species
AUGGUGCCCAGGCAGGACAGGGAUACCAUGGUGCCCCUUCUCCGUCCAGGCUCAGCAUCCCGCUGUCCCCUACACACGGAGCGGCUCUGUCCCCACCUCACUGCCACAGGGGGUCCCAGAAAGGCACCUCCUCGGCUAUCCCCUCCUCACAAGGCACCCCAGACCCAUCUCCUGUCACCCAGGGCACUGCCAACACACCAGAGCCCCUUCACCCUCCACAGGACACCCCUAAAGCCCCCAGGGCAGCUCCCCCUUCCAUCGAGGAACUGCUCCCUUCCACCCCAGGGCACACAAUUCUGCUCCCCUCUGGGGCUGCCCCUCUCCAUCUGGGGUGACCCUCCCCACUGCCACAUGACCCCACCUUCACUGCCACACGAUGGUCCCCCUCCUCAGCAAGGAUCCCACAUCUUCAGGGAGAUCUCCAUGCCACAAGGCACCCCAGUUCCUCCCUGCACCAGGGAACCCCCAAGGCUAAUCCCCCAACCCAGAAAGGCACCUUUGGUCUUGUUCCCCCUCUUCCAGGGCACCCCAGAAAAGUACCCCGGGGCUGAUCCUGUACCCCAGAGAGGCUCCUCCAGGGCCCCCAGCACAAUGUCCCUCACCUAUGCCUCCCCAGCAGAGCUGCUCGGGGCCAACUCACUCCACCCAGCAUCCCCCACUGUCCCCCACCCUGGGCAUCCUAGAAAGGUUCCGGAUGUCCCCCAACACAGACACCCCCGAAAGUCUCCCCCGGGACCCCCCCCCCUCCCCCGGGAGAGCCUGUUCACUGAGAGUAUCCCAGACAGGCUCCCCGGGUGUCCCCCACCCAAAGCACCCCAUCAAGGCCUCUCAGGGUCACCGCCCUCCACCCCGGGCACCCCAGAAAGGCUCUCCCCGGGGUCAGCCCUCUCCACCCAGCUCCCCCCACCAGAGCUCCCGGUCCCCCGCACCCACCGGCCAGGUGCCAGCCCUUCCUGCGCCCGCAGCGGCCGCAGCCGUGGGCCCCCCCCCCCCCCCCCCCCCCCCCCCCCCCCCCCCCCCCCCCCCCCCCCCCCCCCCCCCCCCCCCCCCCCCCCC